rnacentral:rRNA from 1 species
AAUGAACGCUGGCGGCGUGCCUAACACAUGCAAGUCGGAUGUGCCGCAAGGUGCAUGGCCGCCGGGUGAGUAACGCGUAGGGAAUCUACCUUUUUGUGGGGAAUAACGCUCCGAAAGGAGUGGUAAUACCGCAUGAGACCGUGAGCGGGGAUGUUCACGGUGAAACCUGGGGACCGCAAGGCCUGGGGCAAAAAGAGGAUCCUGCGUCUGAUUAGCUAGUUGGCGGGGUAAUGGCCCACCAAGGCGACGAUCAGUAGCCGGCCUGAGAGGUUGAUCGGCCACCCGGGAACUGAGACACGGUCCAGACUCCUACGGGAGGCAGCAGUGGGGAAUUUUGCGCAAUGGACGAAAGUCUGACGCAGCAACGCCGCGUGGGUGAUGAAGGUCUUCGGACUGUAAAACCCUGUCGUCAGGGAGGAAGGUGGCAGUGUUAAUAGCGCUGUUACUUGACGGUACCUGGAGAGGAAGCCCCGGCUAACUCUGUG